GAUGAACGCUGGCGGCGUGCCUAAUACAUGCAAGUCGAGCGAACAGACGAGGAGCUUGCUCCUCUGACGUUAGCGGCGGGCGGGUGAGUAACACGUGGAUAACCUACCUAUAAGACUGGGAUAACUUCGGGAAACCGGAGCUAAUACCGGAUAAUAUAUUGAACCGCAUGGUUCAAUAGUGAAAGACGGUUUUGCUGUCACUUAUAGAUGGAUCCGCGCCGCAUUAGCUAGUUGGUAAGGUAACGGCUUACCAAGGCAACGAUGCGUAGCCGACCUGAGAGGGUGAUCGGCCACACUGGAACUGAGACACGGUCCAGACUCCUACGGGAGGCAGCAGUAGGGAAUCUUCCGCAAAAGGCGAAAGCCUGACGGAGCAACGCCGCGUGAGUGAUGAAGGUCUUCGGAUCGUAAAACUCUGUUAUUAGGGAAGAACAAAUGUGUAAGUAACUAUGCACGUCUUGACGGUACCUAAUCAGAAAGCCACGGCUAACUACGUG
rnacentral:rRNA from 1 species